rnacentral:sRNA from 1 species
CUUUCGGUAAAUGACAGUGGCUCAGGAAACCAAGGGGCCCACACAGGAAGGAGCCGAGUGGGACUUUCCUCUCGCUGCCUCCCAGCUCUGCCCUCCCUUCGAAGGCCCAGGGUCCCUGCCCGCUAGGCAAGUUGCACUCAUGGCACCUCCAAGUGAAGAGACGCCCCUGAUCCCUCAGCGUUCAUGCAGCCUCUUGUCCACGGAGGCUGGUGCCCUGCAUGUGCUGCUGCCCGCUCGGGGCCCCGGGCCCCCCCAGCACCUAUCUUUCUCCUUUGGGGACCACUUGGCUGAGGACCUGUGCGUGCAGGCUGCCAAGGCCAGCGCUUUUACUUCCCCAAUUGGUUUGGGCUGGAGAAGUGCCACCGCUUUGGGCUACGCAAGGAUUUGGCCAGCGCUAUCCUUGACCUGCCAGUCCUGGAGCACCUCUUUGCCCAGCACCGCAGUGACCUGGUGAGUGGGCGCCUCCCCGUGGGCCUCAGUCUCAAGGAGCAGGGUGAGUGUCUCAGCCUGGCCGUGUUGGACCUGGCCCGGAUGGCGCGAGAGCAGUCCCAGCGGCCGGGAGAGCUGCUGAAGACUAUCAGGUGAGAGCCACCAGGCUGUGGGGACGGCCUCUGCUUGGGAGUGAGCAAGGUGGGCUCCAUCGGGGCUUUGCCGGACUCCCACCAUGGAGUUCUCCUGCAAGCUUUCAGGGUGUUCCUAUGACCCAGGGCCUCCCACGAACCCAGCCCUCUCCACCCCCAGGCUCCAGCUGGACAGACACCUGACCUCCCCCAGCUAUAAGGCCUGUGGGGUCCCUGUCCGACCUGUGGGCGCCAAUGGCCCUCCCCUAUUCUGAGGUCCGGUCCUCAUACCUGACCCUGAAUGAGAGUGUGUGUGUGCCUCGUGCCCCAACUGGGGCCGCACCCCAGCCCCUGGGCUUGUGUGUGUCCCCGCGGGGACCCAUCCCGACGCUGAGGGCCGGCUCCCUCCCCUCCAACCCCUGCAGCUACAAGGCCUGCCUACCCCCAAGCCUGCGCGACCUGAUCCAGGGCCUGAGCUUCGUGACGCGGAGGCGUAUUCGGAGGACGGUGCGCAGGGCCCUGCGCCGCGUGGCCGCCUGCCAGGCAGACCGGCACUCGCUCAUGGCCAAGUACAUCAUGGACCUGGAGCGGCUGGAUCCAG